GUGAGAGGCAGCGGCGGCGGCGGCGGCCUCAUCCUCCUCCGGCGACGGCGGGCCGAUCUUGCUGCAGAUUUUCCACAUACCUUCACAACUUCCAAAGUGCUGCCACACAGUACUGUUGGUGUUCCUGGAAGAAGCAGACCAGCUUCAGACACAGUUCCCAAGCUCAACCAGCCCAGCUUCUGCCUCCAGGAUGCACCUGCAGUUAUGCAGAAUGAGACAACUUGAGGCAUCAAUGGUGAGAGAGGCUCUGAGUUUAGCAGCUUCUCAGUGUCCUCUGGAGUGCCUCAAAGCCUGUGCCUGAAAUUCUAUAAAGCCCCCACAGGUUCUGCUGCUGCCUGGUCCAUGCUCUCUGCUUUGGACCACUUUGCACAGGCUUGUAAGAAGUGUCUCUCUACAGCCCUGUGGCAUUUCAGCCAACUUGAGAUUUUCAGCAUGGAUGUAAAGGGAGGCCAUUCUCAACAUUUUGUCCAUUAAUUCUACUGCCAAUAUACUGGCUGAAGACAAAUUAGAUCUGGUUUUCCACCUUUUUAUUUAAGGUUGUGCUGCAGUUAAUAAAACCCCAAAACUGAUUUUUCCAAGCCUGUCACCGGUGCAAUAUUAGUAGCUGUUUCCUUGUGGAACAGUGCUCCUCUCUCAAUCAUCUCUGGUUUUCAAGACUUGCCACCUGCCCAUCUAAGUUGUUAAUUCUCUCUGACAUUUUUCUUUCAGAGAAGAAAGAGACCAUUGAAGAAUAUCAUGCAGAGUCUCAAGCAGUUCCAGAAUUGAUUCCUCAAGUCUCAAGCUGUUGAGAGGGCAGCACGACUCAGAGCAGAAUUUGUGGGAUCCUUUGAGCCAGCAGCAUGCUGCUUGAAAAGCCUUUCUCCUUCAGACACAUUCAUGCCUCAAAUCACUCACUACCAAAUAUAGAAUGCAUUCUUCAAGAGAUACUACUUUCCUCACAUGAGGUAUCUAAAACUGUUGGAAAAAGCAAAGCUGAAAAAUACAAUGAUACCCCUG